UACGGGAGGCAGCAGGGGGAAUAUUGCACAAUGGGCGAAAGCCUGAUGCAGCUAUGCCGCGUGUAUGAAGAAGGCCUAGGGUUGUAAAGUACUUUCAUCGGGGAGGAAAAAACAAAACUAAUAAUUUUAUUUCUUGACGUUACCCGAAAAAGAAGCACCGGCUAACUCCGUGCCAGCAGCCGCGGUAAUACGGAGGGUGCUAGCGUUAAUCAGAAUUACUGGGCGUAAAGAGCACGUAGGUGGUUUUUUUAAAGUCAGAUGUGAAAUCCCUGGGCUUAACCUAGGAACUGCAUUUUGAAACUGAAAUACUAGAGUAUCGUAGAGGGAGGUAGAAUUCUAGGUGUAGCGGUGAAAUGCGUAGAUAUCUGGAGGAAUACCUGUGGCGAAAGCGGCCUCCUAAACGAAUACUGACACUGAGGUGCGAAAGCGUGGGGAGCAAACGAGGGAUUAGAUACC
rnacentral:rRNA from 1 species